rnacentral:rRNA from 1 species
UACGGGGGGAGCAAGCGUUGUUCGGAUUUACUGGGCGUAAAGGGCGCGUAGGCGGCCAGCACAAGUCAGUUGUGAAAUCUCCGAGCUUAACUCGGAACGGUCAACUGAUACUGUGCGGCUAGAGUGCGGAAGGGGCAACUGGAAUUCCCGGUGUAGCGGUGAAAUGCGUAGAUAUCGGGAAGAACACCAGUGGCGAAAGCGCUCUACUGGGCCAUAACUGACACUGAGGGACGAAAGCUAGGGGAGCGAAAGGG